AAAACAUGUUCGGAAUUUUAAAAAAUUUAAUACUGGAGAUUUUCUACGUGAUAUGUCGCAGAUCCCUUGAGAAUCUAUAGUAUUGCACGACAGUCCUAAUGUAUGUGGGAAAAUAUGGCAAUCCCUCUACCUGGAAGCUCUAGAUAGAUACGCACCUCUCAGCCGUCUCAGGCAUAUAAGAAUCCGGGCUGCAAACAGUCUCCUUUGGAUUACACAAAAACUAAAAGAAAAAAUGAGAUUAGAGAUUUCCAUAAAAAUCAAGCCAUGAAACAUAACUCCCAAAUUCAUUGGAAUAAGUAUAGAGAGAUUCGUGAUAAACUACACUGC